AUGGAAGAAAAGCUGUCUAGUAUGCGACAAGAUGUCAUUCAGGAAUUUGUGGCGCUUUAUCAAAGAAUAGGGCCUUAUCUACCGAUCGAGCCCUACUUAGUCGAUGAAGCGCUUCGUUCCUAUCUGGACCAUAUUCACGCAACUGAUUCUUUCACUUUUCUCCAAGUGUCUUAUCAAGAUCCGCGGGAGAAUGAGGGAGGAUCUGUUUUCUUUAGAAAUGAUGUUUCCCACAACCGGGAUCUCCUUGAGGCGGAAAGCUCUGCAAGGAGGUGCCUGGAAGUGGAACAGAGGAUCCGAUGGGAAGAAAUCCCCAAGAGCAAGGCAAGUCUCGAAAGAGCUGAGAACGAGCAUGCUCUCGACUUGUUUAAGUCGGAGGAUCUUAGAAGGGAAUUAGAAAAAAAUGGGGUAGCUCAGUAA
rnacentral:rRNA from 1 species